rnacentral:rRNA from 1 species
AUCGAACGCUGGCGGCAUGCCUAACACAUGCAAGUCGAACGAGUGGCGGACGGGUUAGUAAUGUCUGGGAAACUGCCCGAGGGAGGGGGAUAAUUACUGGAAACGGUAGCUAAUACCGUAUAGCAUAGGAUGGGCCCAGUUGGGAUGAGCUAGUGGGUGGGGUAAUGGCGCACCUAGGCGACGAUCCGUACCUGGUCUGAGAGGAUGACCAGCCACACUGGAACUGAGACACGGUCCAGACUCCUACGGGAGGCAGCAGUGGGGAAUAUUGGACAAUGGGCGCAAGCCUGAUGCAGCCAUGCCGCGUGUGUGAAGAAGGCCUUCGGGUUGUAAAGUACUUUCAGCGAGGAGGCGUUACUCACAGAAGAAGCACCGGCUAACUCCGUGCCAGCAGCCGCGGUAAUUC